rnacentral:rRNA from 1 species
AAGCUCGUAGUUGAAUUUCGGCGAUCAAAUUGUCGGUCGUGCCUCGGUACGUACUGGCGUUAUUGGUUCCUCCCUUCUGAAGAACCGCGAUGUCAUUAAUUUGGUGUCGCGGGGAAUCAGGACUGUUACUUUGAAAAAAUUAGAGUGUUUAAAGCAGGCUCGCGCUUGAAUACAUUAGCAUGGAAUAAUGAAAUAGGACGUUUGAUUCUAUUUUGUUGGUUUCUAGGAUCGACGUAAUGAUUAAUAGGGAUAGUUGGGGGCAUUAGUAUUCAAUUGUCAGAGGUGAAAUUCUUGGAUUUAUUGAAGACUAACUACUGCGAAAGCAUUUGCCAAGGAUGUUUUCAUUAAUCAAGAACGAAAGUUAGGGGAUCGAAGACGAUCAGAUACCGUCGUAGUCUUAACCAUAAACUAUGCCGACUAGGGAUCGGAUGAUGUUAAUUUUUUAAUGACUCAUUCGGCGCCUUACGGGAAACCAAAGUGUUUGGGUUCCGGGGGGAGUAUGGUCGUAAGGCUGAAACUUAAAGGAAUUGACGGAAGGGCACCACCAGGGGUGGAGCCUGCGGCUUAAUUUGACUCAACACGGGGAAA